rnacentral:SRP_RNA from 1 species
GCCGGGCGCGGUGGCUCACGCCUGUAAUCCUAGCACUUUGGGAGGCCGAGGCGGGUGGAUCACCUGAGGUCAGGAGUUUGAGACCAGCCUGACCAACAUGGAGAAACCCCGUCUCUA